rnacentral:tRNA from 1 species
GGAAAUGUGCCCGAAUCCAAGGGUUACUUUGAUAGAGUAAACUACAGAGGUUAAAAUCCCCUCAUUUCCUA